UAUACGCGUCGCGGUGCAAAGUCCGACCGUCAUUCGAAUUAAUAGAAACACCAGCCGCCUUAAAGUUAAAAGCAGCCCUCGUAGCUGGAAAAACAUUGCGCGUUCGCGUAAAUGGCCAGCCACAUUUUAGUUGUUGGCCGACAAAAAAGGUCUGUGUCGAAUGGUGGUACGAAAUCUCCUCUUCUUCAAUAAGAAAUAGGACGUAAAUUAAGGCGUUAGCGUUGAAUUGAAAAAGACUUGGGAUUGCUACGAUGUGUCUCAUUAUUUCGCGAUGAAGCAGUACCUAGACGAAAGUCGUAUAAAGGAAAAGGGAUACGUUUGAAAUGCAAAAUAGGAGAAAAUGGUGUAUCGUUUAUUGUUAGUUCUGAUUUAAGAUGUUCUUACAUCCGAUGUUGCUGCGAAUAUUUGCCAAACGAGGUUUUUCUGCGGCAAGCUACAGAACGGCCGGAUAGUAGGAUCGCGAGACGGACAGCAGAUUCGGAUAAGACGGUUGAGAAUCAGCGUCUUGUGACUUUGGCGAACAUCCAGCAAGAUGGGACGCGUCUUUUCCUUGUUGCCUCAGCCGCGGAGCGACGACAACGAAAACGCGGAUCUUUCAUGAUUUGACAGCGCGAAAGAAGCAACGAAGAAGGAACGAAAGUGUCGCGAAGUAGUACUUAUACAGCAAAAGUUUUUCCUCCUUUUGGCCGCUUGGGACUUUGAACUUCGCGCUACGUGAUCGACGACCUCGGCUCUGCUUCUUCGUCCGCUUCUAUCGUAUCUUGAAUGAUUGUCACAGAGUAAAGUGGAUUAACAUGAGAUUAAGAUUAGAUUUUCUUUAUUGUGUUCUGUAGUUUUGGUGUUUCAAACGUUCGGAGGGAAUUGAAAUGAAAGAAUCGAGUGUGAAAUGUUGGAAAUAUCGACAGGAAAUGCAAGAAAAGCGCGUUAUAUAAAGACUCGAUAAUUUCAAAGAUUUAAAUGAUUAAAUAAUUCACAUUGAUAGAAGCGUGGAGUAUGUUAAGUGAGUAUUCGCUGCGAAAUUUGAUAUUGAAAAUUUACAUUUCAUAAUGAAAUUUAGCUGAAAAAGAAA